rfam:Salmo salar isolate Sally breed double haploid chromosome ssa24, whole genome shotgun sequence.
UGCAUUCUCUACUGUAAGUCGCUCUGGAUAAGAGUGUCUGCUAAAUGACUAAAA